rnacentral:rRNA from 1 species
GGCUCAGGAUGAACGCUGGCGGCGUGCCUAAUACAUGCAAGUCGAGCGAAUUGACAGAGAUGCUUGCAUCUCUCGAUUUUAGCGGCGGACGGGUGAGUAACACGUGGGUAACCUACCUAUAAGACUGGGAUAACUUCGGGAAACCGGAGCUAAUACCGGAUAAUAUUUAGCUUCGCAUGAAGCAAUAGUGAAAGACGGUUUUGCUGUCACUUAUAGAUGGACCUGCGGUGUAUUAGCUAGUUGGUGAGGUAAUGGCUCACCAAGGCAACGAUACAUAGCCGACCUGAGAGGGUGAUCGGCCACACUGGGACUGAGACACGGCCCAGACUCCUACGGGAGGCAGCAGUAGGGAAUCUUCCGCAAUGGACGAAAGUCUGACGGAGCAACGCCGCGUGAGUGAAGAAGGUUUUCGGAUCGUAAAACUCUGUUGUAAGGGAAGAACAAGUACGUUAGUAACUGAACGUACCUGACG